rnacentral:rRNA from 1 species
GAUGAACGCUGGCGGCGUGCCUAAUACAUGCAAGUCGAGCGAACAGACGAGGAGCUUGCUCCUCUGACGUUAGCGGCGGACGGGUGAGUAACACGUGGAUAACCUACCUAUAAGACUGGGAUAACUUCGGGAAACCGGAGCUAAUACCGGAUAAUAUAUUGAACCGCAUGGUUCAUUAGUGAAAGACGGUUUUGCUGUCACUUAUAGAUGGAUCCGCGCCGCAUUAGCUAGUUGGUAAGGUAACGGCUUACCAAGGCAACGAUGCGUAGCCGACCUGAGAGGGUGAUCGGCCACACUGGAACUGAGACACGGUCCAGACUCCUACGGGAGGCAGCAGUAGGGAAUCUUCCGCAAUGGGCGAAAGCCUGACGGAGCAACGCCGCGUGAAUGAUGAAGGUCUUCGGAUCGUAAAACUCUGUUAUUAGGGAAGAACAAAUGUGUAAGUAACUAUGCACGUCUUGACGGUACCUAAUCAGAAAGCCACGGCUAACUACGUG